AACGAACGCUGGCGGCGUGCCUAACACAUGCAAGUCGAGCGCGAAAAGGGCAACCUGAGUAGAGCGGCGCACGGGUGCGUAACACGUGGGCAAUCUGCCUUAGAGUCGAGGAUAACCUUCCGAAAGGUUGGCUAAUACUCGGUAAGCUUACGGUGUCUUCGGACGCUGUGGGAAAAGUAGGCCUCUGUUUACAAGCUUACGCUCUGAGAUGAGCCCGCGGCCCAUCAGCUAGUUGGCGGUGUAACGGACCACCAAGGCAACGACGGGUAGCUGGUCUGAGAGGACGAUCAGCCACACUGGAACUGAGACACGGUCCAGACUCCUACGGGAGGCAGCAGUGGGGAAUUUUCCACAAUGGGAGAAAGCCUGAUGGAGCAACGCAGCGUGUGUGAUGAAGGUUUUCGGAUCGUAAAGCACUUUCGACCGGGACGAAAAACCUCUGGCUAACAUCCAGGGGCCUGACGGUACCGGGAGAAGAAGCACCGGCUAACUCUGUGCCAGCAGCCGCGGUAA
rnacentral:rRNA from 1 species